rnacentral:lncRNA from 1 species
UUUUUCAAAUUUCAAAUUCGGUAAACCUUUUACAAAAUAAUUUUUAAAAUUUUUUGAAAGAAGAUCCAUGUUUAUAUGUCCAAGUUUUCUAUGCCAUAACCAUAAUUCUUCUUUCAAGCUAAGUAAACAUUUUUCGUUAUUUUCCAAUUCAAUGUUUAUAAUAUAAACAUCUUUACUUCGGCUUCCUAUAAAAAUUACCUCUUUCGAUGUAG